rnacentral:rRNA from 1 species
CGGUGACAGGUGGUGCAUGGUUGUCGUCAGCUCGUGUCGUGAGAUGUUGGUUAAGUCCCGCAACGAGCGCAACCCCUAUUGUUAGUUGCCAUCAUUCAGUUGGGCACUCUAGCGAGACUGCCGGUAAUAAACCGGAGGAAGGUGGGAUGACGUCAAAUCAUCAUGCCCCUUAUGACCUGGGCUACACACGUGCUACAAUGGUUGGUACAACGAGUUGCGAGUCGGUGACGGCGAGCUAAUCUCUUAAAGCCAAUCUCAGUUCGGAUUGUAGGCUGCAACUCGCCUACAUGAAGUCGGAAUCGCUAGUAAUCGCGGAUCAGCACGCCGCGGUGAAUACGUUCCCGGGCCUU